UCAAGAUACAAGCCAUUCAUCUUCCCCUUCUUCAUUUUGUCUCUUCCGUUUUCAUCUCUCAUUCUGUGCUAAUUGUUCUUCUUUCUCUUUCCUUUUUAUCCGCUCUUUUCUGCUGGUUUAUUUGUAUAAUAUUAUGCUAUCGAUUUUUGGUAUUCUUUUUGAGUUUCAGCAUCAACUUUCAGGGAAUUGGCAUCUCCUUUUUCUCAUCCAUGCAUGUGUUAAUUUACAGUGCGUUGGUGGACAGAGCUACCCGGUAUCUAUUGCUAUUGCUGGUGGAGGUGGUUGGACCCCGUGGAAUUAGUCGAGUUGCGCUCAAGCUGGCCCGGACACCACAGUUAUCAACAAAAAAACCGUUUCUCUAUCUUUUUGCUCUCAUCUCCAAAUUAAUAUGUAUUAUUUUGACUCUUUUUUUUUUUCACAACUGGUGUGCAGCUACUGCAGUGGAUCUGAAGCACAGUGUGCUGGUUGAUAGAUACCUUCAUCAUCGAACAUACUAUGCUGGAAAUGUAUGGUUUAAAUUAUUCAUUUCAUUUGCACAAAUAUUGCUAUAGUUUUUCAUGCGUCUUCUUUGGUAUCAAGAAGAACGGCCCAUGGGGUUUCUCUUCAAUCUGAAGAAGGGAGAAAUAGAACAACAAUUGACUAUAAAAGCAUUUCAAGACUCCAAUAUUCUGAGAUUUUUGGUUCAUUUAUUCUCUGCUAUUAAAGGACUUAAUUUAGAUCACUUAGUAUAUUUGAUUUUCCAGUUUUAAAAUUCUGCACAACAUUUUCUUCCUAUUAUGUUAGCAAGUAGUAACUUUAGACAUACACAAAGUUCCUUGCAAAUUUUUACAUAUCUUUGUUGUCUUUCAUUGUUACCUGUGGGUAAUAUCUUUAAUUGCUUAAGUCUAUUCUUUUCAGGUAAUGGAAGUCUCAAAAACACAUAUCAAAUUAAAGAAGCUCUCAAACCUAUAGAAAGUGAAUGCCAAAGAUAAUUUGCAAGCUUUCCCAAUUUGUGGUCUUAUCAGCUGCAACUGCUUAAAUCUAGAUUUCACUCAAUUGUAGCAUAUAUCAUACAUAAGUUGGACAUAUGAUUACAAUCUUGUACAUUAAUCUUGCUGUUUUUAUGCCUA